CAGACUUCAGGGAAACUUGGUCUGAAUUCUGGAUAGCUCAAAAUAAAAAAAUUCUAUGACCUUGAACAAAUCAUACCAUGUGUGAGCUCAAAUGAAAAUGUAAUUUUAAUGCAACAUAGGUCCUGGGUUAGAGCUUGCCCAUACAGACAUCCGGAAGAAGUGGUCCCAAACUCCUUCCCAAAGGAACUACUGCACAGCUAUGGAAGAUGCGAGUAUCAUCUCUGCCUGGAAUACAACUAUUUUAAGUUCCCGACAAAAAGAGACAGCAUAGCACCAAAGGCUUUCAAGGCCUUCUACGUGUCAGUGUAUCCUGAAAGAAAAACUUUCCACAGAGAACUGCCAGGGAGAGAGAUACAUGGUAUCUUAUCACUGACAGCCAAGACCAGAAUGAGAG
rnacentral:lncRNA from 1 species